rnacentral:rRNA from 1 species
AACGAACGCUGGCGGCGUGGCUAAGGCAUGCAAGUCGAACGGUCAUACGCAACGGGUAACUGGAGUGUAUGAUAGUGGCGAACGGGUGAGGAAUACAUGGAUAACGUACCCCAGACACAGGAAUAGCGGCGGGGGCAACCCCUUUGCGAAAGUGCCGGUAAUGCCUGAUGACCCCGAUGGAUCGCAUGAUCUGUCGGGCAAGGGUCAGCCGGUCUGGGAUCGGUUCAUGCCCUAUCAGUUAGUUGGCGGGGUAACGGCCCACCAAGACUAUGACGGGUAUCGGGCGUGAGAGCGUGGCCCGACACAUCGGAACUGAGACACUGUCCGGACACCUACGGGUGGCUGCAGCAACGAGUAUUCCGCAAUGGACGCAAGUCUGACGGAGCGACGCCGCGUGUGGGAGGAAGUCCCUCGGGAUGUAAACCACUGUCAGGGGUGAGGAAUUAAUUGACCAGCCCCAGAGGAAGCACCGGCUAACUCCGUGCCAGCAGCCGCGGUAAUACGGAGGGUGCAAGCGUUGUUCGGAUUUACUGGGCUUAAAGGGUGUGUAGGCGGGUCGACAAGUGUCUGGUGAAAGCCCCGGGCUCAACCCGGGAACGGCUGGGCAUACUGACGAUCUUGAGGCAGGUAGAGGUCACUGGAACAACUGGUGGAGCGGUGAAAUGCGUAGAUAUCAGUUGGAACGCCGGAGGCGAAAGCGGGUGACUGGGCCUGUCCUGACGCUGAAACACGAAAGCGUGGGGAGCAAACGGGAUUAGAUACCCCGGUAGUCCACGCCGUAAACGAUGCGCACUGGGUAUGAUGGGUUUUGACGCCCGUCGUGCCGCAGCAAAAGUGCUAAGUGCGCCGCCUGGGGAGUACGGCCGCAAGGCUAAAACUCAAAGGAAUUGACGGGGGCUCACACAAGCGGUGGAGCAUGUGGAUUAAUUCGAAGCAACGCGAAGAACCUUACCUGGGUUUGACAUGUACGGAUACCGUCCAUGAAAGUGGAGCCGGUUGCCUUCGGGUGAAACGUACACAGGUGCUGCAUGGCUGUCGUCAGCUCGUGCUGUGAAGUGUCGGGUUAAGUCCCUUAACGAGCGAAACCCCUAUCGUUAGUUGCCAUCAGGUAAUGCUGGGAACUCUAGCGAGACCGCCGGCGUCAAGCCGGAGGAGGGCGGGGAUGACGUCAAGUCAUCAUGGCCCUUAUGCCCAGGGUGUCACACGUGCUACAAUGGGGCGUACAGAGCGACGCGAGACCGCAAGGUGGAGCAAAUCGCACAAAACGACCCUCAGUUCAGAUUGAAGUCUGCAACCCGACUUCAUGAAGCUGGAAUCGCUAGUAAUCGCGGAUCAGCCACGCCGCGGUGAAUGUGUUCCUGAGCCUUGUACACACCGCCCGUCAAGUCAUGGGAGCUGGGAGUACCCGAAGUCCGUUUAGCGAACCGCAAGGGAGCGGCGGCCGACGGUAAGCCCGGUGACUGGGACU